rnacentral:rRNA from 1 species
AUACGGAGGAUCCAAGCGUUAUCCGGAUUUAUUGGGUUUAAAGGGUGCGUAGGCGGCUUAUUAAGUCAGGGGUGAAAGACGGUGGCUCAACCAUCGCAGUGCCUUUGAUACUGAUGAGCUUGAAUAUACUAGAGGUAGGCGGAAUGUGACAAGUAGCGGUGAAAUGCAUAGAUAUGUCACAGAACACCGAUUGCGAAGGCAGCUUACUAUGGUAUUAUUGACGCUGAGGCACGAAAGCGUGGGGAUCAAACAGGAUUAGAUACCCUGGUAGUCCACGCCCUAAACGAUGAAUACUCGCUGUUAGCGAUAUACAGUUAGCGGCUAAGCGAAAGCGUUAAGUAUUCCACCUGGGGAGUACGCUCGCAAGAGUGAA